rnacentral:rRNA from 1 species
AGAGUUUGAUCCUGGCUCAGAUUGAACGCUGGCGGCAGGCCUAACACAUGCAAGUCGAGCGGAUGAGUGGAGCUUGCUCCAUGAUUCAGCGGCGGACGGGUGAGUAAUGCCUAGGAAUCUGCCUGGUAGUGGGGGACAACGUUUCGAAAGGAACGCUAAUACCGCAUACGUCUACGGGAGAAAGCGGGGGACCUUCGGGCCUUGCGCUAUCAGAUGAGCCUAGGUCGGAUUAGCUAGUUGGUGAGGUAACGGCUCACCAAGGCGACGAUCCGUAACUGGUCUGAGAGGAUGAUCAGUCACACUGGAACUGAGACACGGUCCAGACUCCUACGGGAGGCAGCAGUGGGGAAUAUUGGACAAUGGGCGAAAGCCUGAUCCAGCCAUGCCGCGUGUGUGAAGGAGGUCUUCGGAUUGUAAAGCACUUUAAGUUGGGAGGAAGGGCAGUAAGUUAAUACCUUGCUGUUUUGACGUUACCGACAGAAUAAGCACCGGCUAACUUCGUGCCAGCAGCCGCGGUAAUACGAAGGGUGCAAGCGUUAAUCGGAAUUACUGGGCGUAAAGCGCGCGUAGGUGGUUCAGCAAGUUGGAUGUGAAAGCCCCGGGCUCAACCUGGGAACUGCAUCCAAAACUACUGAGCUAGAGUACGGUAGAGGGUGGUGGAAUUUCCUGUGUAGCGGUGAAAUGCGUAGAUAUAGGAAGG